UAUAUAAGUAUACAAAGAAACUAUUAUGGAAAUCUGGCUAUGUAUUAAAGGGCAUGACUUUUAUUGAUCCCAAUUUUAACACGCGAAAUUGCGUAAUAUUCAAUUUAAACCCUAGAAGAAAUUCAAUAAUAAACGAAGUGAAUUGAAACAUCUUAGUAACUUCCGGGAAAGGAAUCAAAAGGGAUUCUAUGAUUAGCGUGAGGGAAAAUAGAGGAGCCUAGAUAAAAAAUUAAGUAAAAUGGUUUAAAAACUGUUUGAAUUAAGCCCACUGUCCCCCUUCCCAGGGGGAAGUGGGCUUGGGGAACCUUCCUCAAAGGCUAAAUAUAAUACAUAAGCGAUAGUGAACAAGUAUCAUGAGAGAAGGAUUAGAAUUAGUAGUUUUAUAAGCAGUUCGAGCAAAAUAAAUAAGUGAGAACGUACCUUUUGCAUAAUGGGUCACCUAGUUAACAUUAGAUGCGAGUGAAAGCGUAGGUAAACCAAUCGUUAAAAUAACGAAUAGUGUCUAAAGUUAGACCCGAAGCCUGGUGAUUUUACCAUAAUCAGGAUUAUAAAAGUCCGAACGGGUUAUCGUUGUAAAGAUAUCCGAAGAAUUAUGGUAGGUAGUGAAAGACAACACUGACCAGGAUAGCUGGUUUUCUGCGAAACCUAUAACAGUAGGCAAUUUGAGUAACAUCUUAGCAGGUACAGAAUUUAAUCUCAGACAAGAUGUUUAAAUUUUAGUGGUGGCUGCGCGGUCUUACCGCUAAAGCUCGCCAUUAAAACAACAUGUUGAUUUGUAUAUAUCGGGGGAUCGUGAAGAUUUUAUCGGUGAGUAUGUAGACUCGGAAUGGCAAAGAUGGAUCUUUAAUUAUCGGACAUAGAAUGAUAAGGUUGUAUGUCAAAAGGGAAACAGCCCAGAACAAGAGUUAAGGUUCCAAAAUUAUUAGUUAAGUGAAAUUAAGAAAGUUUUUAUUAAA
rnacentral:rRNA from 1 species